GAUAAUCAACUGAAUUCGCCGUUUCGACUUAGUAACGAAGAUAAAAGUGCUACGAAAAAAAACAACGACUCGAGUAUCAGCCUGCUCGAUCGAGGGGUCUUCGAUCGAUCGGAGGCAACUUCUUCCUGAAAAAGUUGCCUUUAUCUCAACAGUCCGUUCCGGGGAGGUGGUCUCGACAGGUGCACUUCAUGACCGAGUAUGCUGUUCCUGUUUAUAUUUCUAGGAUUGUUUUUCGUUGCAAAGCCUUCAAGGCGGAAGGUGAUCUCAGUAUACAACGAUUCAAGAAAGACCACGUUAGGAAAUGUUCAUCUCCACUCUCCGCAGCUCGCUGUUAGUCCCGGUGGUCUGGCUGAGGAUGGGCCGAUGUUCAGAAACGUCCAAACACAAACACAUCAGAAAAAGGAGUGGGUGGGGAAACACACCGGGUAAAAGUGUGGCUUCCUUCUGUCUCUCACACAGAAGACCGUCAGGGAUGCGCCGGCCAGGGUCUUUGGGUUGAGAAUGAAGCCCCCCUCGCGUGGUGUGCGUUUCUAAAAGCAGCAGCGACUCCCUCCCCUCCGCAGACCCCCCUUGCUUAUAUGGAUGACUUGUCAGACAAAGGCAAUAGGUUCCAACACUUUGUGAUUCGCCAGCGCAAGAACCCCGGGGUCCGAAACGAGGAGGUUCUGCAGGUCUGACACACCGAGAAAAGGGGGAGGGAAUAAAUAAAUAAGAAAUGCAUUCGGAGUUGCGGGCAUCAGAGUUUUGGAGACAUUACUACAGUGCUAAUUGUGUGAUGCUUAGCGGAGGUGUGCAGUAAUAGCACCAGCGACGCACAGAUAUCCCCGUUGGUCAGCGGAUUUAUAGCACCCUUGCCUUGAAGAUAUAGACGCGGCCCGUGCCUGGAACGAGCGCCACUGAUAUCUGGGCAUUUGGAGGGGCCAUCUCCUCGGGGCAGAGGGUCACAUCUUUGCUCUGCCUUCUGGUCAGAAUCUCUUUUGUUCUCACCAGAAUCCGCCCCAAACGUCUUUGCUCACGCACACACAUGGUAGACACCUAAAUCCACCCAAGUCCUCCCUCAUCCACCACCAGAACCACAACACAACACCGGCCCAAACUAACAGCAUCCCCCAAAAACCCAACCCUUCCAUCAACCCAUCCCCACCACCACCAUCCACCAUCCCUCUCUCCCCCUCUCUCUCUCUCUCUCUGCGGUGGCCUCCAGUCCCCCGCCCGGGCCCCUCCACCAUGGGCCCUGGCCCCUGUGCUGCUGCUGCUGCUGCUGCCACGGGCCCCGUGCCUUUAUGCUGGAUCGGAGGGGCGGUGUCUUGCUGGGACCCGGGCCCCGGGGCCGCUCCGGGGUGGCCCGCCAGCUGCCUGGGCCCCGACCAGACAGCCAACAUCUUCCCGAGUCGUGUCAGCAAUAUGGGGCCUGAGUGCGGAGCGUCUGUCCGACGGAGCCCGCUGACAUGUGGUACAGCCUAUGGCGUGUGAAUGCAUAAUGUGGCAGCCACCUCAUGGCAGCAGGUGGGGUCGGCG
rnacentral:lncRNA from 1 species